rnacentral:rRNA from 1 species
CCUACGGGCGGCAGCAGUGGGGAAUAUUGGACAAUGGGCGAAAGCCUGAUCCAGCCAUGCCGCGUGUGUGAAGAAGGCCUUCGGGUUGUAAAGCACUUUCAGUGGGGAAGAAAGCCUUGGGGCUAAUACCCUCGAGGAAGGACAUCACCCACAGAAGAAGCACCGGCUAACUCCGUGCCAGCAGCCGCGGUAAUACGGAGGGUGCGAGCGUUAAUCGGAAUUACUGGGCGUAAAGCGCGCGUAGGCGGUCUGAUAAGCCGGUUGUGAAAGCCCCGGGCUCAACCUGGGAACGGCAUCCGGAACUGUCAGGCUAGAGUGCAGGAGAGGAAGGUAGAAUUCCCGGUGUAGCGGUGACAUGCGUAGAGAUCGGGAGGAAUACCAGUGGCGAAGGCGGCCUUCUGGACUGACACUGACGCUGAGGUGCGAAAGCGUGGGUAGCAAACAGGAUUAGAUACCCGUGUAGUC